UGGGUCAGGGUGUGAGCUCCUGUUCAGUCCUGAGAAAGCCAAACUGGAUGAGUAGGACCACAACAGGCUUCUCCCACACUGGUGUGAACACCUCUGUAGGCUUUGGGGCCCCCAAACCAUAGAAGACACCUCACCAGGGGUGCUCAGGCUGCUCCAAGGUGGUUCACAGAUGCUGCUCCCUGUGCUUGGGUGGGAAAUGUGGCUGUGAGUCAGUGGAGCAAAGACACAAUGCACGCAAUGGGAAAAUAUUCAACUCGGUGGCUUUGGCUCAAACAGAGAGCAUUUCUCUCAUGCCAGGAGCCUCUCAGAGCUGUGUUUAGUAAGCAUCUCCUGCCUUAUCUUGACAUGAGCCUCAGCUUCAGGAAAACAAUGCUCGAGGAAUGAAGGGAGCAUUCAGCCCUGCCAGCAGUCAGUAAAUGGGAACUUAGGUGCCCAAUUCGGGUCUGAGGAUCUCUCUGCCCCCUUUUUGUGGCUCCUGGCCAUCUGCAGACUGUACUGGAAGCCCUGCAAAGCAUGGAACAAGGAGCCCUUCAGCCUCUCUCCUCAAAUGAUACCUUAUCCCUGGGAGGAGAGCUUCAGAUUCUGCUUGGAUCAGAGAUCAGCAGAACAGAUAAAGAGGCUGGGCUUAGAGUCAAGCCAUGGCUGCAAACCCAUGCAGCCCUUCUCCCUCCGCCUACGGUUCUAUUUGUGAAGCAAUCAUAUGUGGAGUGAUCUUUGCCCGGAGAAGUUGUGGAUUUAUCCAGAAAAGCUGUGAGUUCCCUGCCCCUGAUGAGCUGGCACUGCUGGGGCACAACACGCUUAAGGGCAUAACAGUAAUGAGGAGUCAUAGUACAGAUUCAGAUACUCCACAUUUCCUUCUGGUCUCCUACAAGCUUAAAUCUGCAAAUAUUUUUGGUGAGUUAUCUGGCUUACAGAAGUCAGUAGACAUCAGUAAAAUUUUCAAGUAGCUUCUCAACUCGAAGGCCUUCUGAAGAGCCUUGAAAAUUGCAGCAGAGAAAAGCCAGACUUACCAAAUUCAUAUUUUGGGUUGUAGAAGAUCAUGGUACUUGGUUGCAUCUUGGUACUGGAGAGGAGGAAAGCUGAGGGUCUUGUGAAACAAGAAUAAGAUAAGGUUGAAUUUGCGGUGUGUGUUGUAUUGGAAUUUAAUAAGUAAAUUAAGAGGGAAAGUGAUCUAAGACAUUGGGAUGAAUUCACAUUCAACAGCCUUGAAUGAGAAGAGAAUGGUGCAUUGGGCUCAUGGAAAACUUCCACAUGAGAAAGGGAGGAGGGAGGAGGUCUG